rnacentral:rRNA from 1 species
GAUGAACGCUAGCGGGAGGCUUAACACAUGCAAGUCGAGGGGCAGCAUAGAGUAGCAAUACUUUGAUGGCGACCGGCGCACGGGUGAGUAACGCGUAUGCAACCUACCUUGUACAGGGGGAUAGCCCGGAGAAAUUAGGAUUAAUACCCCAUAAUGACAUUUGAAGGCAUCUUUAGAUAUUUAAAGGUUCGACGGUACGAGAUGGGCAUGCGUGACAUUAGCUAGUUGGUAAGGUAACGGCUUACCAAGGCUACGAUGUCUAGGGGUCCUGAGAGGGUGAUCCCCCACACUGGUACUGAGACACGGACCAGACUCCUACGGGAGGCAGCAGUGAGGAAUAUUGGUCAAUGGGCGUAAGCCUGAACCAGCCAUCCCGCGUGAGUGAAGAAGGCCUUCGGGUUGUAAAGCUCUUUCGGCUGAAAAGAAAUCGCACAGGCUAAUACCCUGUGUGGAUGACGGUAUCAGCAUAAGAAGCACCGGCUAACUACGUGCCAGCAGCCGCGGUAACAC